AUACAGAUCACCUGGGGAUCUUGUGAAAAGGCCGAUUUAAGCAGGUUUGAUGUGAGGCUUGAGAUUCUGCAUUUCUAGAGAGCUUACAGGUGAUUCUACU
rnacentral:pre_miRNA from 1 species